rnacentral:rRNA from 1 species
UACGUAGGUAGCAAGCGUUGUCCGGAUUUACUGGGUGUAAAGGGCGUGUAGCCGGGCUGACAAGUCAGAUGUGAAAUCCGGGGGCUCAACCCCCGAACUGCAUUUGAAACUGUUGGUCUUGAGUAUCGGAGAGGCAGGCGGAAUUCCUAGUGUAGCGGUGAAAUGCGUAGAUAUUAGGAGGAACACCAGUGGCGAAGGCGGCCUGCUGGACGACAACUGACGGUGAGGCGCGAAAGCGUGGGGAGCAAACAGG